UCUGGAGAGAGCCAGACUGUUGCAGGGCGCGGCUUGCACGUUGCAGACGAAAAGUGCACUGCGGACCCGAGAUAUUAGGUGGGGGCCGCACCGCGUGUCCGCGGCAGCGCAGGAAUCAGAAGCUGUGUGUCCUGCGAGGCCAGGGGCCAGAAGACCCAGUGUUAGCUUUUCCUGCCACUGAGCAAGCACAGGCCCUGCGCUGCUCCGGGCCUGCUUUCUCCCUAUAGGGGAAAUGCUCUGCCCAGCUCCCUCCUUCAGUUGAUGUACAGGUCAAGGCCACUCGUAUUUUCUCAGUCAUGUUCCCUACUUGAGCCAGAAACCGGGCCCUGAUGUGUUGCAGAACCACUGUGGCAUUUAUGAAGUGCCGUGUAAAAGUAUUAUCAGAAAUGCUUGCUCAGCACCCUGAAGUCGCCUGCCUCCCAAGCUGCCUGAUUCCUAGGAGACUCUUCCCUUCAUCUUCACUUUAACACGCGGGGGGAUCCUGAAGCGGGAUGGAAGAAGGGUACCACCUGGACUGGUGGCCCUCCUGAAACCUCCAGGAACACUUGAAAGAAGUCUCCCCCUCCCCCUUUUUUAAAACUGCAUUUGGAUCAAUGGAUUAAUCAGUUCACAGAUUAUUGUCAUGUUUGGUUGAGAGAGGAAGUCGGGUAACAAAAUUGACGGCGAACUUUCUAGACCGAAAUGAUAUUGUACGGAGCCUGGACCAAUUGCCUUGUUAAAGGAGAGCGGACCCUCUCGCUUCGCCGUCUGGGUCGGCCCUGGAGGGGCGAGAGCAUCAGUGUCCCGGCUGAAGCACCUAUUGCGCGGACAGCACGACCGUCGGGCCGGACCCCGGCCUUUCCCGCGCGCUGCCCACGGGGCACGAGGGGGCUUUCGCAGAAUAUACGGAGCUUGCCAAGGCCUGCUAAGGAGGCUUCCAGAAUCCACUGACCAAAACUGGAAUGUUUAAUACUCCAUAGUAAAAAAACACACAAAAAAACCAAAGAAAAAAACCCCACAAAGUAAAAACCAGAACCAUGGAAUUCUGAGUCCCACCUGUUAAAUUAUUUGCCCUUCUAAUAGGAGCGGGAUUGAAAGGCGUAUGUUCAACAUCAUCUUGGACCCAUUUUCUGUGGCGGGAAACCAAGAGGCAGCAACAUCAAGCGUUUGGGACUCAUCUGGCUCCUGAUGCAGAGAACACUUGCUCUCGAAUGUGGAGUUUCUUCUUCUCCCUGGUGUCCCUGGGCGUCCUGGGAGUAGAGACGCCUUCAGCUGCGGGGACCACACCAGUUUCCUGAGUUUCCAGGCUUCCAUGAGGUUUGGUUUUUAAUGAAAAAGGUUAUCUUAAAAAUUCCAGGGAUUU